UAGGAGCUUUGCCUGACAAAGGGAACCUGAUGCAUGACCCAGCCAUGGAUGAGGAGCUGGAACGGCUGCUGGCCCAGAUCCCAGGCCCAGGCAACUCAGUCACUGCCAGUUCAGAGGCCAGCUGCCUGCCUUCCCGGACUCCUCUCCGGGUUGGCUCUCCCUGGAGACCCCUCCAUCAUGCCCGCAAAGCGGAUGCGGAGAGUGAUGGUUCUGCUGAAGAGACAGAUGAGUCUGAGACUUGAGUCUGAAGGGUCCUGUCUCUGAGCCCCUGGGACUCCCAGCCAACCUCCUCUCCCAUGCCCAUGCCAUGCUGCCCUCUGCUGGUGGAAAAGCCAAUUAACGGCCCAAGCGCAAAAGACCUGCCAGAGGGGUCCCAGUUCUCAGCCAAGCCAAGCAAUGACUGUAAAAAGAUAACAGCCUGCUCUCCCUGGCCUGUUGCGCUUUAGUCAGGGCCCAAAUUGACAGCAGAUUGAGCUGAGGCCACCAGGAAAGUCACUUGACCUUGGCCUUUUGGUGACAGUCCCUACAUUAUCAUCAUCUCACAGCAACUCCAGGGAGAUACCAUGAAUAACCAUGCAGAGCCUUGCAUAGUCAAGAGUGAUACCAGUGACGCAAUUAUUAGGAUAUAAUGAUAGUGGCCUUCUGCUGGAGUGACCACUAGCCAUAAAAGGAUGAAGGGUAGGCAAGAAGGUAAUUUCACUUUCAAAAACUGCUUCAACUCUCCUGUGUCUUAAAUAUGUGAAAUGAAUAAAGUCCCUUGUGUCUGGUAA